ACCAACUACCUAAUAACUGAGAUAUAAUAAUACCCAAAACUAUAGAAAAUGUAAGCAUCUUCAAACACAACCAAAGCACAUCUUAGAAUCAUCAUUUUUUAUGGGUAGGAGCAACUUGGUAGCCUGACCUUUGCCAUUCCAAAAGCCACAUCACAGAGAAUUUUGGGAGUACCUUCAAAAUGCAAGUAAAUACCAUUCAAUUAUAAGAAACUGAAAUUGGGAGGCAUACAAAAAUAGAUAUUAUUGAGUUAUAAAGUAAGAGGUAAAUCUAUAGCAAACUCUGGUAGGUCACACGGUUUGCAAAGAUGUGCACUCAACUAUCGCCUAUUAUGUGCUUUUUUAUCUUUUGGUUCGAUUUCCAGAUUUCUCCAUUUGUUCUUUAUUUUUCACCUCCUAUGUACCUGUGAAUUGCAUGAGUACAGGAGAAAACGGGUGAAGGCUGCAAAGAACCUGCUUCAUAGUGAUAUGUGGGCUGCUCAUAUAAAGAGGUAACUUAAGCAAGUACUACUGUUAGUGUUAUGUGAUGAAAAUAACUUGAAAGUAAAUGGACUCAAACUACUUCAAGAAAGCUCUUUUGGUAGGACCAGAAGCUGUUCACCUUGGAGACCUGAUGCAGUUAUGAGUACAACCAGGCGUGGACGGCACUCGGUCCUCCGGAUUUUCAAGGGCCAUACAAGAUUACAACCUCUCUUGGUUUAUGGACAUCUUUACCUAAAAGGCCAAAAGAGGAAUAACAUGCACUAGCAGAAUUCAUCGACAUUGUUACCCCAUAAAGACUUGACUUCCUCUUCACUGUACGCCACAAACUUUGCAACCAUCAUGCAAUGGGAAUUUUCAACUUUUCUGUUGUGGCUUUAAGUGCAGCUACCCAAUUAAUUUCCUAUUGUUUGUUGAAAAAGUGGAAAAUAAUAUCAUUCAAGAUUAAAUUUUUGCGGCAAAAGACAAGUGCCAAUUCUGUUCAACUUAUGUUGCCAAUGUUCUUGCUACUGUAAGUUGAUAGUAUCUUCCUUUGUAGGAGUGAUGAAACAACAAGAUAUGUUUCAGCUUCUAACUUCCUGUAAAACUUUUCAUGGAACUUAGACUGUAGUCAUAAACUUUUUUUGGGUUGAAUGUAGCUAUGUUAGUUGAGCUCUUUUAAGUGGCAAUAAGAAACUCCCACAUGAGAACACUUCUGCUA